rnacentral:SRP_RNA from 1 species
GCCGGGCGUGGUGGCGGGCGCCUGUAGUCCCAGCUACUCGGGAGGCUGAGGCAGGAGAAUGGCAUGAACCCAGGAGGUGGAGCUUGCAGUGAGCCGAGAUCGGGCCACUGCACUCCAGCCUGGGCGACAGUGCGAGACUCUGUCUCGA